UACAGAGGUGGCAAGCGUUGUUCGGAAUUACUGGGCGUAAAGGGCGCGUAGGCGGCCAUCUAAGUCAGACGUGAAAUCCCCCGGCUUAACCUGGGAAUGGCGAUGGAGACUGCAAGGCUAGAAUCUGGCAGAGGGGGGUAGAAUUCCACGUGUAGCAGUGAAAUGCGUAGAUAUCUGGAGGAAUACCGGUGGCGAAGGCGGCAUCCUGGACCGGCAUUGACGCUGAGGAGCGAAAGCCAGGGGAGCAAACGGG
rnacentral:rRNA from 1 species